AUCGAUGAAGAACGCAGCGAAAUGCGAUAAGUAGUGUGAAUUGCAGAAUUCAGUGAAUCAUCGAAUCUUUGAACGCACAUUGCGCCCCUUGGUAUUCCAUGGGGCAUGCCUGUUCGAGCGUCAUUUGUACCCUCAAGCUUUGCUUGGUGUUGGGCGUCUUGUCUUUUAUUAGACUCGCCUUAAAGUCAUUGGCAGCCAGUGUUUUUGGUAGUAAGCGCAGCACAUUUUGCGUCUUAGUCCUUGAAUCGUGGCAUCCAUGAAGCCUCUUUUUCACUUUUGACCUCGGAUCAGGUAGGGAUACCCGCUGAACUUAAGCAUAUCAAUAAGCGGAGGAAAAGAAACCAACAGGGAUUGCCUCAGUAACGGCGAGUGAAGCGGCAACAGCUCAAAUUUGAAAUCUGGCUCACGCCCGAGUUGUAAUUUGUAGAGGAUGUUUCGGGUGAAGCCGCGGUCCAAGUCCCUUGGAACAGGACGUCAUAGAGGGUGAGAACCCCGUACCUGGCCGCCGGUGCCCCCCGCUGUGAAACUCCUUCGACGAGUCGAGUUGUUUGGGAAUGCAGCUCUAAAUUGGUGGUAAAUUCCAUCUAAAGCUAAAUACCGGCCAGAGACCGAUAGCGCACAAGUAGAGUGAUCGAAAGAUGAAAAGCACUUUGAAAAGAGAGUUAAAAAGUACGUGAAAUUGUUGAAAGGGAAGCGCUUGCGGCCAGACUUGCCCGCGGUUGCUCAGCCCGCCUUUUGGCGGGUGCACUCUUCCGCGGUCAGGCCAGCAUCGGUUUGGGCGGUCGGAUAAAGGCGUUGGGAACGUGGCCUCCCCUCGGGGAGGUGUUAUAGCCCGGCGCGCAAUGCGACCAGUCCGGACCGAGGUUCGCGCUUUGCUAGGAUGCUGGCGUAAUGGCCGUAAGCGGCCCGUCUUGAAACACGG
rnacentral:rRNA from 1 species